rnacentral:rRNA from 1 species
AACGAACGCUGGCGGCGUGCUUAACACAUGCAAGUCGAACGCGAAAGGGACUUCGGUCCUGAGUAAAGUGGCGCACGGGUGAGUAACACGUGGAUAAUCUACCCAGUGUUCCGGGAUAACACUUCGAAAGGAGUGCUAAUACCGGAUAAGCCCACGGGAACUUCGGUUCUUGCGGGAAAAGGUGGGGACCUUCGGGCCUACUGUCACUGGAUGAGUCCGCGGCCCAUUAGCUAGUUGGUGAGGUAAUGGCUCACCAAGGCAACGAUGGGUAGCUGGUCUGAGGGGAUGAUCAGCCACACUGGGACUGAGACACAGUCCAGACUCCUACGGGAGGCAGCAGUGGGGAAUUUUGCGCAAUGGGCGAAAGCCUGACGCAGCAACGCCGCGUGAGUGAUGAAGGCCCUCGGGUCGUAAAGCUCUGUCAGAGGGGAAGAACCGCCGUACGGAUAAUAACCGUGCGGUCUGACGGUACCCUCAAAGGAAGCACCGGCUAACUCCGUGCCAGCAGCCGCAGUAAUAC